GAUGAACGCUGGCGGCGUGCCUAAUACAUGCAAGUCGAGCGAACAGACGAGGAGCUUGCUCCUCUGACGUUAGCGGCGGACGGGUGAGUAACACGUGGAUAACCUACCUAUAAGACUGGGAUAACUUCGGGAAACCGGAGCUAAUACCGGAUAAUAUAUUGAACCGCAUGGUUCAAUAGUGAAAGACGGUUUUGCUGUCACUUAUAGAGGGAUCCGCGCCGCAUUAGCUAGUUGGUAAGGUAACGGCUUACCAAGGCUACGAUGCGUAGCCGACCUGAGAGGAUGAUCGGCCACACUGGAACUGAGACACGGUCCAGACUCCUACGGGAGGCAGCAGUAGGGAAUCUUCCGCAAUGGGCGAAAGCCUGACGGAGCAACGCCGCGUGAGUGAUGAAGGUCUUCGGAUCGUAAAACUCUGUUAUUAGGGAAGAACAAAUGUGUAAGUAACUAUGCACGUCUUGACGGUACCUAAUCAGAAAGCCACGGCUAACUACGUG
rnacentral:rRNA from 1 species